AUUGAACGCUGGCGGCAUGCCUUACACAUGCAAGUCGAACGGCAGCACGGGUGCUUGCCCCUGGUGGCGAGUGGCGAACGGGUGAGUAAUACAUCGGAACAUGUCCUGUAGUGGGGGAUAGCCCGGCGAAAGCCGGAUUAAUACCGCAUACGAUCCACGGAUGAAAGCGGGGGACUUUCGGGCCUCGCGCUAUGGGGUUGGCCGAUGGCUGAUUAGCUAGUUGGUGGGGUAAAGGCCUACCAAGGCGACGAUCAGUAGCUGGUCUGAGAGGACGACCAGCCACACUGGAACUGAGACACGGCCCAGACUCCUACGGGAGGCAGCAGUGGGGAAUUUUGGACAAUGGGCGAAAGCCUGAUCCAGCAAUGCCGCGUGUGUGAAGAAGGCCUUCGGGUUGUAAAGCACUUUUGUCCGGAAAGAAAGCCUUGACGCUAAUACAGUCGGGGGAUGACGGUACCGGAAGAAUAAGCACCGGCUAACUACGUG
rnacentral:rRNA from 1 species